rnacentral:rRNA from 1 species
GCACCGCCUGUCGCUACUACCGAUUGAAUGGCUUAGUGAGCCUUUGGGAUUGGCGUUCGGGAGCCGGCAACGGCACCUGAUUGCUGAGAACUUAUGCAAACUUGGUCAUUUAGAGGAAGUAAAAGUCAUAACAAGGUUUCUGUAGGUGAACCUGCAGAAGGAUCAUUAUUGAAUAAUAGGGCUUCCCAUUCUUUGGGGCCCGAACCUCACAUAAUUUCCACACACUUGUGAAUCGUUGGAGCAUGGAAGGAGAGACUCUCUCGAGUCUCUGUGAAAAUGCUCUGGCACCCAUUUAUUAUUACAAACUCUGAGUUAAUGGAUGUAGUUGUAAACUUGUCUUUUGACAGAAACAAAAAUACAACUUUCAACAACGGAUCUCUUGGUUCUCCCAUCGAUGAAGAACGCAGCGAAACGCGAUAGUUAAUGUGAAUUGCAGAAUUCAGUGAAUCAUCGAGUCUUUGAACGCAUCUUGCGCUCCUUGGUAUUCCGAGGAGCAUGCCUGUUUGAGUGUCAUGAAUCCCUCAGCCCCCAAUGCUUUUCGUUAAGUGUUGGCUUGGGUCUGGAUUUGGGCGAUUGCCAGAGAGCUUUUUCAAGUUCCUGGCUCGCCUCAAAGAGAUUAGCUGGACCCCAUUCCGAGCUGGUUCAACUCGACGUGAUAAUUUCAUUCGUCGAGGUAUGGUUCUUCUCCCUUAAACAAGGAGUGGAUCCAGCCAGGUGUAGGAAUCCGGUCUGCUUCCAACUUCUGUCUGAAGUCCAAUUUAUUGGGCAUGCAGCAGACUUUUUAAUGUCGGCCUCAAAUCAGGUAGGAUUACCC